rnacentral:rRNA from 1 species
UACGUAGGGUGCGAGCGUUAAUCGGAAUUACUGGGCGUAAAGCGUGCGCAGGCGGCUUCGCAAGUCAGGCGUGAAAUCCCCGAGCUUAACUUGGGAAUUGCGCUCGAAACUACGUGGCUCGAGUGUGGCAGAGGAAGGUGGAAUUCCACGUGUAGCGGUGAAAUACGUAGAGAUGUGGAGGAACACCGAUGGCGAAGGCAGCCUUCUGGGCCAACACUGACGCUCAUGCACGAAAGCGUGGGGAGCAAACAGG